rnacentral:rRNA from 1 species
CCUACGGGCGGCAGCAGUAGGGAAUUUUCGUCAAUGGGCGCAAGCCUGAACCAGCGAUGCCGCGUGAGUGAAGAAGGCCUUCGGGUCGUAAAGCUCUGUUGCGGGGGAAAAAAGGCAGCAUCAGGAAAUGGGUGCUGACUGAUAGUUCCCCGCCAGAAAGUCCCGGCUAACUACGUGCCAGCAGCCGCGGUAAGACGUAUGUGGCGAGCGGUAUCCGGAAUGAUUGGGCGUAAAGGGUGCGCAGGCGGUCCUGCAAGUCUGGAGUGAAACGCAUGAGCUCAACUCCUGCAUGGCUUUGGAAACUGGAGGACUGGAGAGCAGGAGAGGGCGGUGGAAUGCCAGGUGUAGCGGUAAAAUGCGUAGAUAUAUGGAAGAACACCAGUGGCGAAGGCGGGCGCCUGGCCUGUUGCUGACGGUGAGGCACGAAAGCGUGGGGAGCAAAUAGGAUUAGAUACCCCAGUAGUC